rnacentral:rRNA from 1 species
UACAGGGGGUGCAAGCGUUGUUCGGAAUUACUGGGCGUAAAGGGCUCGUAGGCGGCCAACUAAGUCACACGUGAAAUCCCCAGGCUUAACCUGGGAACUGCGUGUGAUACUGGAUGGCUUGAAUCCGGGAGAGGGAUGCAGAAUUCCAGGUGUAGCGGUGAAAUGCGUAGAUAUCUGGAGGAAUACCGGUGGCGAAGGCGGCAUCCUGGACCGGCAUUGACGCUGAUGAGCGAAAGCUAGGGGAGCAAACGGG